UGGACCCUACGGGGGGCAGCAGUGAGGAAUAUUGGUCAAUGGGCGGAAGCCUGAACCAGCCAAGUCGCGUGAGGGAAUAAGGCCCUACGGGUCGUAAACCUCUUUUGUCAGGGAACAAAGGCGGGGACUAGUCCCCGGAUGAGGGUACUUGAAGAAAAAGCAUCGGCUAACUCCGUGCCAGCAGCCGCGGUAAUACGGAGGAUGCGAGCGUUAUCCGGAUUUAUUGGGUUUAAAGGGUGCGCAGGCGGCCUGUUAAGUCAGCGGUAAAAGCCCGGGGGUCAACCCCGGCGAGCCGUUGAA
rnacentral:rRNA from 1 species